rnacentral:rRNA from 1 species
GACGUACCACCCAAACGUUAUUCGGAAUCACUGGGCUUAAAGAGUCCGUAGGCGGCUCGGAAAGUUGGAUGUGAAAUACCUCGGCUCAACCGAGGAACAGCAUUCAAAACUGCCGAGCUUGAGAGAGACAGAGGUAAGCGGAACUGAUGGUGGAGCGGUGAAAUGCGUUGAUAUCAUCAGGAACACCGGUGGCGAAAGCGGCUUACUGGGUCUUUUCUGACGCUGAGGGACGAAAGCUAGGGGAGCGAACGGG